rnacentral:rRNA from 1 species
CCCGCUGAACUUAAGCAUAUCAAUAAGCGGAGGAAAAGAAACUAACAAGGAUUCCCUCAGUAACGGCGAGUGAAGCGGGAAGAGCUCAAAUUUAAAAUCUGGCGUAAAAGCCCGAAUUGUAGUCUAAAGAGGCGUUAUCGGACGCAGGUCUGCCGUACAAGUUCCCUGGAAUGGGACAUCACAGAGGGUGAGAAUCCCGUCUGGACGGUGGACCAGCGGACAUAUGAGACGUUCUCAAAGAGUCGAGUUGUUUGGGAUUGCAGCUCAAAAUGGGAGGUAAAUUUCUUCUAAGGCUAAAUAACGGCAAGAGACCGAUAGCAAACAAGUACCGUGAGGGAAAGAUGAAAAGCACCUUGAAAAGGGAGUUAAAAGCGCGUGAAAUUGUUAAAAGGGAAACGAUUGAAGCCAGUAGGACCAUGGAGAGUUCAGCGGUACCCAUUGAGUAUUGCCGUGAUGAGAGCGUUUAAGUGCGUCUCUAGCGGUGUGCGCAAAUGGACUAUCGUGCAUUCUUUCCAUGGUUAGUCAGUGCCAAUUUGAAUCGCCGGAAAAGGACUUGGGGAAAGUGGCCAAUAUAUAUUGGCUUUAUAGACCCUUGUAGAUACGGCGAAUUGGAUUGGAAUCGACAUCAGCUAACGGGGAUGUGUAUAUCUGCGGUUGUGGACAUUUGAGAAUCAAUUGAGUCUCAGAUGGCAUCUAGCUGGGAAAAGACGUCUUAGAUGCUGCGGUGACUACUGACGAAAUGGCUUUAAACGACCCGUCUUGAAACACGG